UACGUAGGCAGCGAGCGUUGUUCGGAAUUACUGGGCGUAAAGCGCGUGUAGGUGGUGGGACAAGUCUGCUGUGAAAGCGCCUGGCUUAACCGGGCGAGGUCGGCGGAAACUGUCCGACUCGAGGACGGUAGAGGGGGGUGGAAUUCCCGGUGUAGUGGUGAAAUGCGUAGAGAUCGGGAGGAACACCUGUGGCGAAGGCGGCCCCCUGGGCCGGCCCUGACACUGAGACGCGAAGGCGUGGGGAGCGAACGGG
rnacentral:rRNA from 1 species